AAAAACACAGGAAAGAAAAAGGAUGAAACUGGGAAGAAAAAAAACAGAGAGGGGAGAGGAUAAAAACAACCUAUAAAGCAGCACAGGAAGAGGGUUAAUUAACCAUUUCCAGGAUUAAUUACGUUUGUCUUACUGUAUAGCAACCAGUCUAACCAAUCUAAAUGUUCAUCCCUGUAGAAGCCUCUAGUGCAGUAAGCCUUCUGGCAGACGCAUCCUUACCUGCUACAUAUUCUGAGAACGUGUUGACAGAUCCGGUCACGGCAAGUCUGUGGGGGAACAUCGCUAGUUCAGACUGACCUCUGUGCUGCUUACACAGUGGACUGGGGCCAAACUAAGACUGAGGCCCAAACAAUACGCACUGGUGCUCUCUCUCAAUGACGAAGGGCCACAGCAGGAAACAGAAACACAUUGGUCUAAGUUGAGCUGCAUCAGAUGCGGUUUUGACUCUAGCCUAAAUAUCAACUCUGAUAUUUGGUAUUUCUAUGCCACCAUAAAGUUGCAUUCCAUCUGCUAACAGAGCGAACUGAAGCUGCACUCACUAUAAGCUGCCAAGGACUGAGAGGAAAGCUGUACUCUAGCGGGGGACAAAGGGACAGGAUAGCAAACCUUUUUUUUUUUUUACAGCCCACCUUCUGUUUUCAAUUCCACAAAAGACAACAUCUCUUCAGCUGAACAUCGAUGUGUGAUGUCGAGGGAAGUCAGCACUCACCCCACAGCUGUGACUUGGAGUGUAAAAUUGGAGUGGGGGUGAGAAGGGGAUGUUUUUGGAGCGAACAACUUAGACUGCAGCGCGAAAAUAAUUCUCCUGAAAAAGUCGCGCCAAAGGGGUGACACAUGAGUGAUAAUCACUGGACUCCAGAGAGCUAUGCUGAUGGAAACACUAGACUACACACUGCUACACACAGGAAGUCCAAAACAGCUUCAAGGUUCGUAGAUGAAAUCUGAUUCAAUGCAAGAAGAAAAGGCAUGAUGUGAGAACAAAUCUCAACAGACAGCAGCGCGUUUAGUUAUUCAGUUCACUUUUUCGUAACAUCUUUAUUUAAUUUGUCUCAUUUUAAACAUAUUUACAGUUAUUAUUUUUUUGUUCAGUAAAAAUACAAAUACAGAACACAGUACUCUUUUUUUUAAAGGUUUUUUUUUUUUUUUUUGAUUAAAUUUUUUUUCUUCCAAAAUUCACCCAGCGACAACAGAGGCUUUUGCCUGCCAGGGCUUCUCCCGGGGAAAGAAAGCAGGUGGUGUCGCCAUAGUGAUGUGAGGAUGACCAAGGGCAACCUCAGAAAUCACACUUUCACAACCAGUCAUCAGACAGCCAGUGCUGCCACCUAGAGGCCUGGAGAGGCAGUGUCUGAACGGCUCAUUCGCUGCCAACAGAAAUACAGCAGCAGCAGUGAGAAGGAGCAAGGGAGAGAGACGGCGAUUGUGAGGGGGUCUUGACGUUACCAGAUGUCCUGUGUCCGUCAUUCCCACUCUCGCUCGCAGCAUCCUGUCCAACACGUCCAUUCAGUUGAGCAAAGGGGGAAAAAAAAACAACAAAGUUGGGACAAAAAAUAAAAUAAAAAAAUCAAGAGUGUGUGGGCCCAGGGGCAUGGAUUAGUCAGUGUGUGGUUUCUGCCAAAGGCAUUUCGAGUUCUGUUCUUUCUCCUCAGGGGCUGUCCCUCUGAACAGAGGGACAGAGACAGAGACAGACGGAGGGAGAGGGCUGACAGAGGAACAGGAAAACGUCUCUGUUUGAGUCACACUGCAAGUGGUCAGUUUCUACUUCACCGUCCUGCCCCGGACUGACUUCACUAACCAGCUUAGAAAGUUACCAACCCCUCCGUGUAAGCAUGACCACGACCACAAUCACCACCAUCAUCUUCGUCGUCAUCGUCAUAGCCAUCACUGUGACUAGGGAGGCACCGAGGUUCUCUCUGUGAAUCAUACCCACAACCCUGAUCAGACUCGUGUUUUAGAACAUAUCAGCUGAUUAGGAGCAUAGAACAGUGAAGAAAGCAGGAUGGCAACAACCCAAAAUGAAAAAAAAGAAGGAAAACAAAAAAAGAAAAACCAAGAAAUGUCUAUUUUUGAGUCGUCUCCAGUGACCUUGCCCACAUAAAGAUGGCAGGGAGAGGUGUGUGUGUGUGUGUGCGCGUAUGUGUGUAUGUGCGUGUGUGCGGGGGUGGCAGGCAUAAAUUAGCUCCAGCCCAGUGUGUCAAUCACCUCCCCCACAUGCCUAUCUGAUGAGCAUCCUUAUUUACCCACAAUUCCUCAACAACAGCUCUGAUGCCUGACCUCUGACCUCUGUGGAGAUGGGGGGUGGGGGUGGAAGGAUGAUAUCGAGUGGUUGCAGAAAGAAGUCGUUGAGAAAAAGCACAGGAGCUCUGUGUGUUUAUGGGUGUGUUUGUGUAUGGGUAUGUGUGUGUGUGCAAGUGAGAGACAAACAGAGAGUAUGUGUGUGUGUGUGAUUAUGUAAUAUUUGAGCGCAUGUGUGUGUAUGUGUGUGUAUAUAUAUGUGUGUGCACGCUUAUUCGCAAGAGCAGUGACCCUCCAUGU
ensembl:lncRNA